GUAGGGAAUAUUGGGCAAUGGAGGCAACUCUGACCCAGCCAUGCCGCGUGCAGGAUGACGGCCCUCUGGGUUGUAAACUGCUUUUAUACGGGAAGAAAAAAUACUACGUGUAGUAUACUGACGGUACCGUAAGAAUAAGGAUCGGCUAACUCCGUGCCAGCAGCCGCGGUAAUACGGAGGAUCCAAGCGUUGUCCGGAUUCAUUGGGUUUAAAGGGUGCGUAGGCGGAUCUUUAAGUCAGUGGUGAAAGCCUGCAGCUUAACUGUAGAAUUGCCAUUGAAACUGAAGAGCUUGAAUGUGGUUAAAGUAGGCGGAAUGUAUCAUGUAGCGGUGAAAUGCUUAGAUAUGAUACAGAACACCGAUAGCGAAGGCAGCUUGCUGAACCAUUAUUGACGCUGAGGCACGAAAGCGUGGGGAGCAAACGGGAUUAGAAACCCGGGUAGUCC
rnacentral:rRNA from 1 species